AGGCGUUAGAAAAGACAAGGAAGGGUGUGAAUAAAUCCGACCAAUCUGCACGGCACUAAUCGCCCUGGGAUGUUUGGACGAGAUUGUGGCCGGCCCUAUAUGAUGCUAAACCGACCUAUCCGCUUCAAUGAACCGACGAACUAAGCGCAUGAGACGAUCCGUUCUUCUAAUGCAGUAACUAGCGUCCAAUGCUACCAUGGAGGUAUCAUCUAUCCGACAAACACUCCACUCCCCUCGAACAACUAACGGUUGAUUUCCCGACUCGCGUGCGUGUGUUGGCGGUUGCGUCACGGCUAGACUUGUUUUCUCUAUCGCCUGGAGAAGUCGUGCGGAAUCGAUCGAUACGGGUUUGACUAACACGACACUAGCACACACACAGCCAGACGACGAAGCUACUACAGCCACAGUGAAGAAGCAUUUGAGUGUGCGCGCCCGCUUUUCUAAUCACCUUCUAAGCAACCGUGUGCCAUCCCACUUGGUGCAUGAGCGCCUGGCAAUAGAUUUAGCAAGAAGGUGAAUAUGAAAGAUAGAAACGAAUAGAAAACCACCCCUACUCGCGCUGUACUUGCACGGCCUCCCCUUAAUGUACGCGUUUGAUCCGUCCCCGGCCACUUCUUAUACGGGAGGGUGUAUAAAACCGAGGGGGUCGAACGAUGGGCAUCUUCCCUUUCCCCGUUCGAUCGAUGCGGCCGCGCGUGUGUGUUUAUGUGUGGUUGUGAUUGGGGUAGUGGCUAGCAUGCGUAGCGAAGAUUGAGAACCGAACGAAGAUUGCCUUAGAUCCCACGUUGCGAUGGUGAUGCGCUGUACAACGCCGACAGCGACGUCCAACAUAACAGCAACAAUGGCGAUGAUGCGUGAGAACCAGCAUCUCGGUCCAGUGAAUGAGAUAAAACUUUUCCCAGGUUCUUAUGCGUACAGGAGGCUGCCGCCGGCUUCAACGGAUCGGGGGUGAACGAACGGAUGUGGCCUGAUCUCACCCGGAUGGGAAAUGACAUGGGAAGGGGGAACGAGAAAAUGGAGAAACCCCGACAUUCCCGCAGCUUACUAGUUACGGUUCGCUGGGUACUGGAACGUAACAUAUAGAGAGUGGGAAAACUCAAAUAGAGAAAUCAUGUUUUCUGUAACACAAAAAAGGCUUUUAGAAAAUAGAAUAAAUUGAAGAUUAGUUCGAUUCCAUGUGCUCGAAUGGAAGUGUGCGAGUGGAAGAUGCACUGCCGAACAGGUCGAGAUUCCACCCCAUUCGAUGGCCAGUAAUUGCACGAACGUGAAGAAAGAGCGCUGCCGAUGAAUGUCUCUGUCAUGUCAGCAUAGUCGCCGAGCAGUUGGCCCAUGGAAGGGGCAUUGGCAUCGGUAAGAAAGAGGUAGGAUCCGUACCAUCUGUAGAGCGGAACCAACUGAAAGCGUUUGGGUUAAACAAAACGUUGCUUAAGAAAUUGGAACUACAUGAUAAAAUUUUGACCAUGGGAAAAUUGUCCCUUAAAAAUCUGAAACAACUUAUGUGUUAAAAAGUAAGCAACAAAAAAUAUAAAUAUAUUAAUAUUUUUUCAACCGAUCAGGUUUACAACCUUUAGCGACAACCCAAAUGCACCAGCUCACCGGUUCGAGUUCGAGAACAUCGAACUACAUCCAGACAACUGCGUGGUUCACCUCCGCCGGACGAUGCGGCCUUGGUCGCAACGGCGCUUACUAUUUAACAAUUACACAAACCCGCGCGUGCUCUACUCGCCGCAGCGGUUGGGGAAAAACGGCACUAAGAACGGCCGACCCUCCUACUACGACUGAGCCGCUGUUUUUCUUCCAUCGCGCAUCUUUCGCCGAAAAAGGGGAAGAUGUGUGUGACCAUUCCGCCUUCUGUUCGGUUCUUUCUAAUCUACCACACACCUACAGAGGAUAGGGGAACACAACAGUUAUACAACCUUUUUGCCCCACGCUCUCCCCCUCACACGAAUGGCAUCCAAAGAUGGCCAUCAGCGGGUACUCUCCUCGCAUUGGACACAAAUAUGAGCGCUGGGUAGCGACGGAUGGAUUAAAAAAUGAAACCUCUUUUUCGCCGGCCCAUGGAGGGUUUCUGUGUUUGUGUGUGUGCUUCUACAGUGGAGUACUGAAGAUAGAUGCAGCGUGCAGCGUAGUUCGAUUCCGCUGCCAAUCGAGUCAUAUCUGGGGGGAGGCAAGCAGUUCAAAACAGAUUUCACCUCGCGUGAGUGGGAUGUGAAUGUCAAUCGACGGUGAAAGAGCAGAGACCAACAACAAAAAACAACGUUAACGGAAGUGGUUACUCCAUCUUUUCGAACCGAUAACCGAGAAGGGGGGAAACGUCGCUUUCACUUAACAACUUUUGUCUUCCCACGAUUGUCACCCGAGUCGUACUCCAGCUGUCCCUCGACGCCUGAUAUCUUUGGGGACACUUUUCUCUCUUCUUUUGACAUUUCGGAGUGUGCCACGAUGAUGUGUCGCGAAAGCGUACUUGCAGUUGGAUAGUGUACACGCAAUGGUAGUAGUCGGAGUUGUUAUUGUUUUGCUCAACCACACGUGCUUGAUCAAUGCAAAAGCAACGUUGUCAUGGCGUGGUGUGUUGGUUUGUGCUUUUAUUGCAGCUGUACCGUCAACAAAACGUUACAUCGACCAGGAGUACAGGAGAGCACGUAGCCGACCUCGUCCACUACCUCCCAACCCGGUUGGCUAGUGUAGUACACACGUGAGCAUGUUUGCCUCGCUUCGUGUUUCCUCUGCUCGGUUCCAGUCUCAUACUGGCAUUAGAAAACCAAGAAAACCAGCACAAAAAUACUGUGUUUCCUUCUUGUAACCGCAACAGCCAAAUGCUCUCGCUUUCUCGCGUAUGUUUUGUUUUUUGAGGGUUCAUUUCAUCAUCAUCCAAAAGCGGCACAAACAGAGCAGGCCGAGUUUCGGCAACCGAUGCCCACACUAUGCGUAUUGAAUGUCAGUAAAGUCAUCAAUAAAAGGAGACGGAAAUCACAAAAUCGUAAA